rnacentral:rRNA from 1 species
UACGGGGGGGGCAAGCGUUGUCCGGAUUUACUGGGCGUAAAGGGCGUGCAGGCGGUUUGCUAAGUCUAGGGUGAAAGCUCCCGGCUUAACUGGGAGAGGUCCUUGGAUACUGGCGGACUUGAGGGAGGCAGAGGAGAAUGGAAUUCCCGGUGUAGUGGUGAUAUGCGUAGAUAUCGGGAGGAACACCAGUGGCGAAGGCGGUUCUCUGGGCCUUACCUGACGCUGAGACGCGAAAGCUAGGGGAGCGAACAGG